rnacentral:lncRNA from 1 species
CUAGAAUGUUUGUUUGUUGUGGUCAUCAAAGGGUGUUGAAGUAACUUCAUAAUUAAAGUCCUAAUGGAAGCAGGAAAAGGAGAAUGCAGGAGCAAUAGGCACUCAGUGAUUAAAAGGUCAGCUAGAGUGCUCUGCUAUCAUGUGGUUAGGACUAUCUGAGGAGUCCUCAGUGAGAAGAGGAAGGAGCCCCCACUGACGCCCCCUAGGAUUUGCCUGAUGGAUGCUUAAGGAACUUCACAAGAGAAAGCAAGAACACACAAAAUAAAGUGUCUCUUGGUUCUUAUUAAAACUCUGAGAGGAGCUCAGUCGUCAGCUUAAGGAACAUGAAGAUAAGGUGUCCAUUGUGGAUUUGACAAUAAGAGGUAGAGUCUUUAGAGAGAAAAACAUGGAAUGGAAAGAAAAGAGAACAUAGACGCCACAUUCCAGAAAGGAAGGCUCCAUCCUGAGCCAGACCUACAAUGUGGAAAUGGGUAUGGCCUGGGAGGACUAUGUUUUCACCCCUCUUCUAGAAGGAACAGGAUUGAGGAGUGAAUUUGUCAGAAUCAACCAAUCACAGAAUGAUAGAGCCAGAAGGGAAUUUAGUCCAUUGAGUACAACCCUCAGAGUUCAGUUGAGGAAAAUGAGACAAAGAAAGAUGCAGUGA